UAUGGUAAUUGUGUGCCAGCCUCCGCUUUACUACGUAGGUAGCGAGCGUUGUCCGGAAUUACUGGGUGUAAAGGGAGCGUAGGCGGGAUGGCAAGUCAGAUGUGAAAACUAUGGGCUUAACCCAUAGACUGCAUUUGAAACUGCUGUUCUUGAGUGAGGUAGAGGUAAGCGGAAUUCCUGGUGUAGCGGUGAAAUGCGUAGAGAUCAGGAGGAACAUCGGUGGCGAAGGCGGCUUACUGGGCCUUUACUGACGCUGAGGCUCGAAAGCGUGGGGAGCAAACAGG
rnacentral:rRNA from 1 species